rnacentral:rRNA from 1 species
AUUGAACGCUGGCGGAAUGCUUUACACAUGCAAGUCGAACGGUAGAGGGGGCAACCCCUUGAGAGUGGCGAACGGGUGAGUAAUAUAUCGGAACGUGCCCAGUCGUGGGGAUAACGUAGCGAAAGUUACGCUAAUACCGCAUACGAUCUAAGGAUGAAAGCGGGGGAUCGCAAGACCUCGCGCGAUUGGAGCGGCCGAUAUCAGACUAGGUAGUUGGUGAGGUAAAGGCUCACCAAGCCAACGAUCUGUAGCUGGUCUGAAAGGACGACCAGCCACACUGGGACUGAGACACGGCCCAGACUCCUACGGGAGGCAGCAGUGGGGAAUUUUGGACAAUGGGCGCAAGCCUGAUCCAGCAAUGCCGCGUGCAGGAUGAAGGCCCUCGGGUUGUAAACUGCUUUUGUACGGAACGAAAAGGUUUGUCUUAAUACGAUGAGCUCAUGACGGUACCGUAAGAAUAAGCACCGGCUAACUACGUGCCAGCAGCCGCGGU